UACGGGGGGGGCAAGCGUUGUUCGGAAUUACUGGGCGUAAAGGGCUCGUAGGCGGCCAACUAAGUCAGACGUGAAAUCCCCAGGCUCAACCUGGGAACUGCGUCUGAUACUGGAUGGCUUGAAUCCGGGAGAGGGAUGCAGAAUUCCAGGUGUAGCGGUGAAAUGCGUAGAUAUCUGGAGGAACACCGGUGGCGAAGGCGGCAUCCUGGACCAAUACUGACGCUGAGGAGCGAAAGCGUGGGGAGCGAACAGG
rnacentral:rRNA from 1 species